AAGAGAGAGGAGGUGUCAGCUAUUAUGGGCACCGAAUGAGCAGUGGUAGGCAGAGGACAGUGGCUGGUAAGACCAUCAGCAAUUAAUGUUCUCUUGAAAGCGACAUAUGAUAUUAUCAAUUAGACAUUUAGAUGGCUACUGAGGCCGCGCGUGCCACCGGAGGGAAUCCCCACCACCAUAGUCCACCGACAGCUUCUGCUUCUUCAUCUGACACCUCUCUCCCCUUUCACCGGACCCUAUCCUUCUUUCUACCAGCUCUCGAGCUUGACUUGUUGACUCGAAUUCGAGUAUGGCCAAGCUAAUGAGCAGCUGAAUUCAUACCUCAUUUUGUUUGGUGCUAUAGUACAAAAUUUUCUGUCCACUAUUGGUGAGGCAGAGCUUGUUGCUUAUUUACCAAGGGAUCAAAAAUAUAGAUUUAGCAAACUUUUGUUGGAAAUUUAAGUGAAUCUCUUUCUUUGCUUUUAGAAUGUUUUGGUCAUAUGAGCUCAUAUGUAUCUUUAUAUAAGUAGGGAAUGUGAUGAAUAGGAUAGUCAUAAAAAUUAUUAUAUUUAUAAAAAUUAUCGUAUUU
rnacentral:misc_RNA from 1 species